AACGAACGCUGGCGGCAGGCUUAACACAUGCAAGUCGAGCGCCCCGCAAGGGGAGCGGCAGACGGGAGAGCAACGCGUGGGAAUCUACCCAUCUCUACGGAAUAACGCAUGGAAACGUGUGCUAAUACCGUAUACGUCCUUCGGGAGAAAGAUUUAUCGGAGAUGGAUGAGCCCGCGUUGGAUUAGCUAGUUGGUGGGGUAAAGGCCUACCAAGGCGACGAUCCAUAGCUGGUCUGAGAGGAUGAUCAGCCACACUGGGACUGAGACACGGCCCAGACUCCUACGGGAGGCAGCAGUGGGGAAUAUUGGACAAUGGGCGCAAGCUUGAUCCAGCCAUGCCGCGUGAGUGAUGAAGGCCCUAGGGUUGUAAAGCUCUUUCACCGGUGAAGAUAAUGACGGUAACCGGAGAAGAAGCCCCGGCUAACUUCGUGCCAGCCGCCGCCGUAACAC
rnacentral:rRNA from 1 species